AACGAACGCUGGCGGCAUGCCUAACACAUGCAAGUCGAACGAGACCUUCGGGUCUAGUGGCGCACGGGUGCGUAACACGUGGGAAUCUGCCCUUUGCUUCGGAAUAACAGUUAGAAAUGACUGCUAAUACCGGAUGAUGUCGAAAGACCAAAGAUUUAUCGGCAAAGGAUGAGCCCGCGUAGGAUUAGGUAGUGGGUGGGGUCAAGGCCUACCAAGCCGACGAUCCUUAGCUGGUCUGAGAGGAUGAUCAGCCACACUGGGACUGAGACACGGCCCAGACUCCUACGGGAGGCAGCAGUGGGGAAUAUUGGACAAUGGGCGAAAGCCUGAUCCAGCAAUGCCGCGUGAGUGAUGAAGGCCUUAGGGUUGUAAAGCUCUUUUACCAGGGAUGAUAAUGACAGUACCUGGAGAAUAAGCUCCGGCUAACUCCGUGCCAGCCGCCGCCGUAAUAC
rnacentral:rRNA from 1 species